UCAACCUCCGAGUUCCCCAGCAUUUCAACACCCCCCCCCCCACGCACACACACACGCACACACGAUACAACCUCCCAGAAUGCAUGCAGAUGUGUCCCUUCUGGAGUCGAGCUGCCUUUACCUACUCACAAAUGCAGGUUUCUUAGCUCUGGAUUCUGCUGCAGCCCAGGCUGACUUGAAUUUGUUGUCUUCGGUCUCCGGGGUGGCUGGAAGUAUAGUCCUGUACCACCAGAGGUCCCCCAAACGGGCAGGGUGCGGAUGGGGAAGGUCGGAGUACUGAUGAGCUCCGCCUGAAAUCCCCGCCCCCACAAGCAGUUGGUCACGCUUCGUUUCUUUGUCUUCUGAGGUAGGACCUAAUAUGUCUCUGAGGCUGGCCUCAAAAGCAAGAUCCUCCUGCCUCAGCCUUCCUCGUUCGAGGAUUAAGGCCCGGAGAGACAGCUCAGUGGAUAAAAGCCUUGUCAUUCAAGCACAAGAAUUUGGGUUGGAAUACUCGGCACCCACCACACCGGCUUGGCUGUUUGUGCCCAUAUCUAUUGUACAGAGCCCAGCCUACCCUGAAGGAUGACAAACUUCCCUUCCAAUUAACACACCCUGAAGGGUGGAUCUCUGCGAGUUCCAGGCCAGCCUGGUCUACAGAGCGAGUUCCAGGACAGCCUCCAAACCAAUACAGAGGAAACCCUGUCUCAAAAAAAACAAAAAAAAAAAAAACCAUACCCUGAAGGGAAAAAAACGAUGGCAAAGAACUCACGUGACGUCUCUGGCUUCGGCUUGCACGCAUGCUCUGACAUGGUGGUUCACGGUCACACAUGCGUGUGCACGCACUCGCGCGCGCGCGCACACACACACACACACACACAGAGCUUCACACACCAGACAGACAAGGGUGAUGAUAAAAAUAAUGAAAUGGUCACUGAGAUGGCGGCACAGAAGGACAGCUGCGGCCGUGUCUGAGUUCAGGGUCUGGGACACACAUGACGCACAGGUCUGACUCCCACAAGGUAUCUCCUGUCAUGGCACUUGCAAAAUAAAUAAAUAAAAGCAAUAACUAGCAGCAA